AAUGCCUACGGGAGGCAGCAGUGGGGGAUAUUGCACAAUGGGGGCAACCCUGAUGCAGCGACGCCGCGUGAGCGAUGGAGUACUUCGGUAUGUAAAGCUCUGUCAGCAGGGAAGAGAAUGACGGUACCUGACCAAGAAGCCCCGGCUAAAUACGUGCCAGCAGCCGCGGUAAUACGUAGGUGGCAAGCGUUGUCCGGAUUUACUGGGUGUAAAGGGCGUGUAGCCGGGCUGACAAGUCAGAUGUGAAAUCCGGGGGCUCAACCCCCGAACUGCAUUUGAAACUGUUGGUCUUGAGUAUCGGAGAG
rnacentral:rRNA from 1 species